CUACGAAAGGUGCAAGCGUUGUUCGGAUUUGCUGGGCGUAAAGAGAGUGUAGGUUGUUUAUUAAGUCGGAUGUGAAAUCCCGGGGCUCAACCUCGGAACUGCAUUCGAUACUGAUAGGCUAGAGUUUGGGAGGGGUAAGCGGAAUUCCGUGUGUAGCAGUGAAAUGCGUAGAUAUACGGAGGAACACCUGAGGCGAAGGCGGCUUACUGGACCAAUACUGACACUGAGACUCGAAAGCGUGGGUAGCAAACAGGAUUAGAAACCCUAGUAGUCC
rnacentral:rRNA from 1 species